CUACAGGUUAAAAAAUGAACUGUUUUGUCCUUGGCUUUAAAAUUGUAAAACUCAUCUUUACAUCCAGUAACAAUACAAUAGUGUCCCCUCUUAUGUUUUCUUCUGUCCCGUGUCUCCUCAGUCUCUGUCUUUCACGGUCUCUACCGUUGUAGCCAACCAACCUCAUGACGUAACAGGUUAGUUAGUACUGCAAUGGCGGCACUUUUGCCGUGAAAGUUAAAACGGAGUUUCUUUUUUU